GAUGAACGCUAGCGGCAGGCCUAACACAUGCAAGUCGAGGGGUAGAAGCUUUCGGGCUUUGAGACCGGCGCACGGGUGCGUAACGCGUAUGCAAUCUGCCUUGUACUGAGGGAUAGCCCAGAGAAAUUUGGAUUAACACCUCAUAGUAUUUUUGCCUGGCAUCAGGUGAUUAUUAAAGGUUACGGUACAAGAUGAGCAUGCGUCCCAUUAGCUAGUUGGUAUGGUAACGGCAUACCAAGGCUACGAUGGGUAGGGGUCCUGAGAGGGAGAUCCCCCACACUGGUACUGAGACACGGACCAGACUCCUACGGGAGGCAGCAGUGAGGAAUAUUGGUCAAUGGGCGCAAGCCUGAACCAGCCAUGCCGCGUGCAGGAUGAAGCAUCUAUGGUGUGUAAACUGCUUUUGUACGGGAAGAAACACUGCUACGUGUAGCAGCUUGACGGUACCGUAAGAAUAAGGAUCGGCUAACUCCGUGCCAGCCGCCGCCGUAA
rnacentral:rRNA from 1 species